GAUCCUGGCUAGGAUGAACGCUAGCGGCAGGCCUAAUACAUGCAAGUCGAACGGUAAGCGUCCCUUCGGGGUCGCGAGAGUGGCGCACGGGUGCGUAACGCGUAUGCAACCAGCCCCCCGUCCGGCGCACAGCCGGUGGAAACGCCGGGUAAUGCGCCAUGCGCCCGAGUGGGGGCAUCCCCGGUCGGGCAAAGCCUACGGGCGGAGGGGGACGGGCAUGCGUGCCAUUAGAUGGUCGGCGGGGUGACGGCCCACCGAGUCCGCGAUGGCUAGGGGAUCUGAGAGGACGGUCCCCCACACUGGUACUGAGACACGGACCAGACUCCUGCGGGAGGCAGCAGUAAGGGAUAUUGGGCAAUGGGGGCAACCCUGACCCAGCCAUGCCCGCGUGAGGGAAGUAGGCCCUACGGGUCGUGAACCUCUUUUGCGCGGGGACAAGGGCGGCCACGCGAUGGCCGCUUGAGGGUACCGCGCGAAUAAGCGCCGGCUAACUCCGUGCCAGCCGCCGC
rnacentral:rRNA from 1 species